CGGGUGAGUAACACGUGGGUAACCUGCCCCGAUGACCGGGACAACCCGAGGAAACUCGGGCUAAUACCGGAUGUGGAACCUUCACAUCAGUGAUGUUUCUAAAGGUAGCUUCGGCUUCCGCAUUGGGAGGGGCCCGCGGCCCAUUAGCUUGUUGGUGGGGUAACGGCCUACCAAGGCUGCGAUGGGUAGCUGGCCUGAGAGGACGAUCAGCCACACUGGGACUGAGACACGGCCCAGACUCCUACGGGAGGCAGCAGUGGGGAAUCUUGCGCAAUGCGCGAAAGCGUGACGCAGCAACGCCGCGUGGGGGAAGAAGGCCUUCGGGUUGUAAACCCCUUUCAGGAGGGACGAAGGUCACACGGUUAACAGCCGGCGUGACUGACGGUACCUCCAGAAGAAGCCCCGGCUAACUACGUGCCAGCAGCCGCGGUAAUACGUAGGGGGCAAGCGUUGUCCGGAAUUAUUGGGCGUAAAGAGCGCGUAGGCGGUCCGAUAAGUCGGCUGUGAAAGUCAGGGGCUCAACCCUUGAAAGCCGGCCGAUACUGUCGGACUAGAGUCCGGAAGAGGCGAGUGGAAUUCCCGGUGUAGCGGUGAAAUGCGCAGAUAUCGGGAGGAAC
rnacentral:rRNA from 1 species